rnacentral:lncRNA from 1 species
UUCACUCAAAGUAAGACCGUACGCUCAAAAUCAUAGUGGCAAUAUUUUGACCGUCCCACUCCAUUUCUCUUUUAUUUACUUAGUGUUUGACUUGUUGGGAGGUUUAGAGUCUAAUGGAUGUGAUUUGAGUGAACAAUCAUACCAAGUGUGCUUAUAAGACCGUUCCACUAAAAUUUUUCUCGUGUGUUCAUGUAUCCCUAAGGUGGAAGUUAUUUCAAGUUAGUUUCAAUGGACAGACAUGACUGAUUCAUUCUAAUCAAUUGUCGAUCUUCUAUCUGGACCGAUCAAUAUUUCCUCCCUCAGUCCAUUCAAAUGGAUAAUCAAACUAUUGUAUACAUUUUUUCAGAGCAGGACCUCGAACAUACAAAAAUUUCAAUUAUUCGAAUUGACUCAAC